GCCCACGUAGCUCAGUUGGCAGAGCACACCCUUGGUAAGGGUGAGGUCAUGGGUUCAAAUCCCAUCGUGGGCUCAA
rnacentral:tRNA from 1 species